GAUGAACGCUGGCGGCGUGCCUAAUACAUGCAAGUCGAGCGAACGGACGAGAAGCUUGCUUCUCUGAUGUUAGCGGCGGACGGGUGAGUAACACGUGGAUAACCUACCUAUAAGACUGGGAUAACUUCGGGAAACCGGAGCUAAUACCGGAUAAUAUUUUGAACCGCAUGGUUCAAAAGUGAAAGACGGUCUUGCUGUCACUUAUAGAUGGAUCCGCGCUGCAUUAGCUAGUUGGUAAGGUAACGGCUUACCAAGGCAACGAUGCAUAGCCGACCUGAGAGGGUGAUCGGCCACACUGGAACUGAGACACGGUCCAGACUCCUACGGGAGGCAGCAGUAGGGAAUCUUCCGCAAUGGGCGAAAGCCUGACGGAGCAACGCCGCGUGAGUGAUGAAGGUCUUCGGAUCGUAAAACUCUGUUAUUAGGGAAGAACAUAUGUGUAAGUAACUGUGCACAUCUUGACGGUACCUAAUCAGAAAGCCACGGCUAACUACGUGCCAGCAGCCGCGGUAAUACGUAGGUGGCAAGCGUUAUCCGGAAUUAUUGGGCGUAAAGCGCGCGUAGGCGGUUUUUUAAGUCUGAUGUGAAAGCCCACGGCUCAACCGUGGAGGGUCAUUGGAAACUGGAAAACUUGAGUGCAGAAGAGGAAAGUGGAAUUCCAUGUGUAGCGGUGAAAUGCGCAGAGAUAUGGAGGAACACCAGUGGCGAAGGCGACUUUCUGGUCUGUAACUGACGCUGAUGUGCGAAAGCGUGGGGAUCGAACAGGAUUAGAUACCCUGGUAGUCCACGCCGUAAACGAUGAGAGCUAAGUGUUAGGGGGUUUCCGCCCCUUAGUGCUGCAGCUAACGCAUUAAGCACUCCGCCUGGGGAGUACGACCGCAAGGUUGAAACUCAAAGGAAUUGACGGGGACCCGCACAAGCGGUGGAGCAUGUGGUUUAAUUCGAAGCAACGCGAAGAACCUUACCAAAUCUUGACAUCCUUUGACGACUCUAGAGAUAGAGCCUUCCCCUUCGGGGGACAAAGUGACAGGUGGUGCAUGGUUGUCGUCAGCUCGUGUCGUGAGAUGUUGGGUUAAGUCCCGCAACGAGCGCAACCCUUAAGCUUAGUUGCCAUCAUUGAGUUGGGCACUCUAAGUUGACUGCCGGUGACAAACCGGAGGAAGGUGGGGAUGACGUCAAAUCAUCAUGCCCCUUAUGAUUUGGGCUACACACGUGCUACAAUGGACAAUACAAAGGGCAGCGAAACCGCGAGGUCAAGCAAAUCCCAUAAAGUUGUUCUCAGUUCGGAUUGUAGUCUGCAACUCGACUACAUGAAGCUGGAAUCGCUAGUAAUCGUAGAUCAGCAUGCUACGGUGAAUACGUUCCCGGGUCU
rnacentral:rRNA from 1 species